rnacentral:rRNA from 1 species
CCUACGGGUGGCAGCAGUGAGGAAUAUUGGUCAAUGGGCGCGAGCCUGAACCAGCCAAGCCGCGUGAGGGAUGAAGGUUCUAUGGAUCGUAAACCUCUUUUAUAAGGGAAUAAAGUGUGGGACGUGUCCUCUUUUGUAUGUACCUUAUGAAUAAGGAUCGGCUAACUCCGUGCCAGCAGCCGCGGUAAUACGGAGGAUUCGAGCGUUAUCCGGAUUUAUUGGGUUUAAAGGGUGCGUAGGCGGCCUUUUAAGUCAGCGGUGAAAGUCUGUGGCUCAACCAUGGAAUUGCCUUUGAAACUGGGGGGCUUGAGUAUGUGUGAGGCAGGCGGAAUGCGUGGUGUAGCGGUGAAAUGCUUAGAUAUCACGCAGAACCCCGAUUGCGAAGGCAGCCUGCCAGGCCAUGACUGACGCUGAUGCACGAAAGCGUGGGGAGCAAACAGGAUUAGAUACCCGGGUAGUC